rnacentral:rRNA from 1 species
UACGAAGGGGGCUAGCGUUGCUCGGAAUCACUGGGCGUAAAGCGCACGUAGGCGGCUUUCUAAGUCAGAGGUGAAAUCCUGGAGCUCAACUCCAGAACUGCCUUUGAUACUGGAGAGCUUGAGUUCGGGAGAGGUGAGUGGAACUGCGAGUGUAGAGGUGAAAUUCGUAGAUAUUCGCAAGAACACCAGUGGCGAAGGCGGCUCACUGGCCCGGUACUGACGCUGAGGUGCGAAAGCGUGGGGAGCAAACCGG